UACGUAGGAUCCAAGCGUUGUCCGGAUUUACUGGGUGUAAAGGGUGCGCAGGCGGACUGGUUAGUCUGGGGUGAAAUCUCAUCGCUUAACGGUGAAACUGCCUUAGAUACUGCCAGUCUUGGAUAAGCGAGAGGUUCGUGGAAUUCCGAGUGUAGCAGUGAAAUGUGUAGAUAUUCGGAAGAACACCAGUGGCGAAGGCGACUUACUGGACACAUAUUGACGCUGAGGUGCGAAAGCGUGGGGAGCAAACAGG
rnacentral:rRNA from 1 species